rnacentral:rRNA from 1 species
GAAUUCGCCCUUAGAGUUGAUCCUGGCUCAGGACGAACGCUGGCGGCGCGCCUAACACAUGCAAGUCGAACGAGCGAGAGAGAGCUUGCUUUCUCAAGCGAGUGGCGAACGGGUGAGUAACGCGUGAGGAACCUGCCUCAAGGAGGGGGACAACAGUUGGAAACGACUGCUAAUACCGCAUAAGCCCACAGGUCGGCAUCGACCAGAGGGAAAAGGAGCAAUCCGCUUUGAGAUGGCCUCGCGUCCGAUUAGCUAGUUGGUGAGGUAAAGGCCCACCAAGGCGACGAUCGGUAGCCGGACUGAGAGGUUGAACGGCCACAUUGGGACUGAGACACGGCCCAGACUCCUACGGGAGGCAGCAGUGGGGAAUAUUGCACAAUGGGGGAAACCCUGAUGCAGCGACGCCGCGUGGAGGAAGAAGGUCUUCGGAUUGUAAACUCCUGUUGUUGAGGAAGAUAAUGACGGUACUCAACAAGGAAGUGACGGCUAACUACGUGCCAGCAGCCGCGGUAAAACGUAGGUCACAAGCGUUGUCCGGAAUUACUGGGUGUAAAGGGAGCGCAGGCGGGAAGACAAGUUGGAAGUGAAAUCUAUGGGCUCAACCCAUAAACUGCUUUCAAAACUGUUUUUCUUGAGUAGUGCAGAGGUAGGCGGAAUUCCCGGUGUAGCGGUGGAAUGCGUAGAUAUCGGGAGGAACACCAGUGGCGAAGGCGGCCUACUGGGCACCAACUGACGCUGAGGCUCGAAAGUGUGGGUAGCAAACAGGAUUAGAUACCCUGGUAGUCCACACCGUAAACGAU